UACAGAGGGUGCGAGCGUUAAUCGGAAUUACUGGGCGUAAAGCGUGCGUAGACGGCUAUCUAAGUCGGGUGUGAAAGCCCCGGGCUCAACCUGGGAAUUGCAUUCGAGACUGAAUAGCUAGGGUACGGUAGAGGGAAGUGGAAUUUCCGGUGUAGCGGUGAAAUGCGUAGAUAUCAGGAGGAACACCGAUGGCGAAGGCAGGUCUCUGGGCUGACACUGACGCUCAUGCACGAAAGCGUGGGGAGCAAACAGG
rnacentral:rRNA from 1 species